rnacentral:rRNA from 1 species
UACGGAGGACGCGAGCGUUAUCCGGAUUUAUUGGGUUUAAAGGGUGCGUAGGCGGGAUGCCAAGUCAGCGGUAAAAAUGCGGUGCUCAACGCCGUCGAGCCGUUGAAACUGGCGUUCUUGAGUGGGCGAGAAGUAUGCGGAAUGCGUGGUGUAGCGGUGAAAUGCAUAGAUAUCACGCAGAACUCCGAUUGCGAAGGCAGCAUACCGGCGCCCUACUGACGCUGAGGCACGAAAGCGUGGGUAUCGGACAGG